CACGGUCACGGCUGCUGCCGUUGCCGCCGCCGCCGCCCGGGGCUCCCUCCCGCCUGCGCCGGGAUACCCUCCUCUCUCAGCUCCGCCGCACUCGAGCCGCCGGCUCCUCCGCGGCGGGUUUUAUUCGGCGCCGGCGGAAGGUUCCGCAAGGAGACAGUGACGCCACAAAGGCCCAGAACCUUCGCGGAGGUUCCGGCGGCGCCUGGAGCUGACUGGCUGGGGCGCUGCGGUGGGUUAGCGGCCCGGACCCCCGACGCCCCGGCCCGGCGCGACCUCCCGGCUCACCCGGUCGCCUGUUCCUCCGGCCUGCAGUCUGAGUACCCGGAGCUCCAGUUCUGACUGCCGCCCCGGGCCAUGUUGGGGGUCUUGGAAGACGGCUUCGGAGUGGAGGGCGCCUUCCGACGGCCGCCCCGCCACCCCGGGGCCGUCCCUUUUCCCUUGCGUGGGUCCGUGGGUCCGGCUGGCUCAAAGAUCAGGUGGCCUGGAGGGCAGCGUCGGCGGGAACCCUGCCCCGAGGGGUUGGACUGGGAGGGCUGCGCCCUGCUGUCCCCACCCGGCCUCUCCCUGGGGGUGUGGCCGCCCUCUGUUUGGUUAUGUCCCGGAUGCGCCCUGAGGCAUGCCUCGGAUUGUUGCGUUUUUGAGGGGUUUGGAGUGGGUAGGGGCCCUCUACUGUGCUGGAGUCGCAUUUCCUGAGGCCAUUUCCUGAAGCUGCUGGCGCCCCCCGGGGCAUCAUCAAGGCUGAGGUGAGCCUAAGCCUUCCAGAUACGUACAGUGGUGCUUUGCUGGCUCCAGCUGUGGACGGUGCUCUCUCAACUGCCCACAACUGGGAACCCUUGACGUCCCCCAGAUGUGGGGAGUGACGCCCGUUAGAUGUGAGCAGUGACGUCCCCCAGGUCUCCCAAAGCUCCCAGCAGGUGCCUGGUAACAAGGAUCACCACCCACUGCAGGAACGUGGGCGUGGGAAGCAGCACUAUCAGAGAACUGCAGGCCUUCUUGCUCCAGCCCAGCCUUGACUUCUGCCGAUGGUACACUGCCAGGGAGGGUUGGCCACUGCUCACCUGUCUGGGAUCCCUUGGCCUCGUUUUGGGUCCUGUGGCUGAGGCAAGUACUAUCCCCUCCUCCACGUGUUCAGUGGGGGUGAGAAAUGACUUUUAACUUGCAAGAGAAAGUAAGCUGCUCAUUUCUGUUCUUGGAGACAUUGCUUUUUCCCUCUCAAUUAGACCUCUGAAGAGCAGUAACCUUUGGCAGAGAACUCAGAGCUAGAGGUCAACAAACUUGGUUCCAUCCCCAGACGUUAUUAACUAUAUGAGCCUUAGCCUCUCUGAGCUUGUUUCCUCAUCAGCAGGACACGGUCAUUGCCGCCUGCCUGCCUGCCUUCCUCACAGGGCUCUUGCAAGGAUCACAUGGGAUGAUCACUGUGAACGCUUCUAGCACACAGUGAUCAUCCAAAUCUCGAACCUGGCUGUUCAUAGGAAUCACCUGGGAGCUUCUAAAAAUCCCAGUGUCCAGGCUGCACCCCAGUCCAAUUGCACCAGCACUUCUGGGGGUGGAACCCAAGCAUCAGUACUUUUAAAGGUCCCCAGGUGAUUCCACUGAGCAGCCAGAGCUGAGAACCACUGCCCUGCACCACACAUUUAUCCAGACUCAAUAGUCUGGACCAGUGACACUGGCAGGAAGGGCAUUUGUGGGUGGUCAGAGCCUAUAGGCACAGAAUGGGCCUAUGAACUCUGGAACCAGUGAGACCUAGGUUCCAGUUGCUACCUCUGGCUGCCUGACCUUGGGCAGGUGAUAUAACCUUUCUGAGCCUUAGAUUCCUCAACCUUUUUAUGGGGAAAAUAUUAAGAGUAUCUACCUCAUAAGCGCCUGAAGCACCUGGCUCAUAGUCUCAUCACAUGAUGAUGCAUUAUGUUCUUUUCACUUUUAUCUAAGCUGAAGAAGCUGACAAAGAUUCUCUCCUUUAUGAAAUUCUAGCCAGGCUCCUGUGAACCCUCUUCUCAACUAGGCCUCAGCCUUGGUCUGUAAAGACUUGAACAACCCCUAGCAUAGUUUCUAAUAGCUCAAGGCUGCCUCCCUAAGGUGGCUCUAACACCGCCCCCCCAAAGUGCCUGCCUGAGAAAAGGCUGCCAAAAAUUUUUACUGUUUGUUCCAGCCAACACCUGAGGACACCUGAGGACAGAGCCUCUGUCUCCCAGUCUCUGUGAGAAAGUAGAAUUCUAACUUCAAUAAUACCAGCUAGCAGACACCACUGGCCUAGUUGCAUUUACACUUGACCUUUGGUUAAAAAAAGUAGAUGGGGACUUCCCUGGAUCCAGUGGUUAAGACUUCACCUUCAUUGGAAGGCAGGGGGUGCGGGUUCAAUCCCUGGUUGGGGAGCUAAGAUCCACAUGCCUCACAGCCAAAAAACCAAAACUAAAAAAGAAGCAAAAAACUAAAAAUAGAACUACCAUAUGACCCAGCAAUCCUGCUACUGGGCACAUACCCAGAGAAAACCAUAAUUCAAAAAGACACAUGCGGGCUUCCCUGGUUGUGCACUGGUUAAGAAUCUGCCUGCCAAUGCAGGGGACACAGGUUCGAGCCCUGGUCUGGGAAGAUCCCACAUGCCGUGGAGCAACUAAGCCUGUGCACCGCAGCCACUGAGCCUGCGCUCUAGAGCCCGCAAGCCACAACUACUGAGCCCACGUGCCACAACUACUAAAGCCUGUGCACCUAGAGCCCGUGCUCUGGAACAAGACAAGCCACAGCAAUGAGAAGCCUGCGCACCGCAACGAAGAGUAGCCCCCGCUCACCACAACUAGAGAAAGCCCACGUGCAGCAACGAAGACCCAACGCAGCCAAAAAAAACCAGACACAUGCACCCCAGUGUUCAUUGCAGCACUAUUUACAAUAGCCAGGUCAUGGAAGCAACCUAAAUGCCCAUCGACAGACGAAUAGAUAAAGAAGAUACGGUACAUAUAUACAAUGGAAUAUUACUCAGCCAUAUAAAGGAACGAAGUUGGGUCAUUUGUAGAGACAUGGAUGGACCUAGAGACUGUCAUACAGAGUGAAGGCCUUUACAAAUAUAUAUAUAUGGAUCUUCUGAGAAGGUUUUUGAGGUGCACAUUUCUCUCUUUUGUUUUUCUCUUGAUUUAUGGACACGAUGCUGAGAUUCAAUCACUACAUGAAACUCCCAGCUGUGAAAACAAAACAAAAAACCCAAAGGGCUGUUUUUUCCACCAGCCCUGGGGAAGCUAUGUGACGGUCGGAGGCCGGUUUCAGAAAGUUUCACCAUUCUUUCCACCCUCUGUUCCUCUCUCUCCUCCAGAAGGAAGUUGAUCCUAGUGAUUUCAGCCCAUGCGUUAAGCAGGAAACAAUAAUAAACGUGUAGAAUUCAUAUUUUUCUAAAGGGAACUUAAAAACUUACGCUGCGUUAUGUACAAAACUGGUUUAUGCCACAUGAACACAGAAUCCCAAGUUCGGUUUGGGUACUUUUCGUUCUGUUUUGCGUUCAGUUGUAUAGUACUUCCAAGUUCAAAAUGAGAAGAAAAAGCUGUUCUGUA